UACGAAGGGGGCUAGCGUUGCUCGGAAUCACUGGGCGUAAAGGGCGCGUAGGCGGAUCUUUAAGUCGGGGGUGAAAGCCCAGGCUCAACCCUGGAAUUGCCUUCGAUACUGAAGAUCUCGAGACCGGAAGAGGUAAGUGGAACUGCGAGUGUAGAGGUGAAAUUCGUAGAUAAUUCGCAAGAACACCAGUGGCGAAGGCGGCUUACUGGUCCGGUUCUGAGCGCUGACGGCGCGAAAGCGUCGGGGAGCAAACAGGA
rnacentral:rRNA from 1 species